rnacentral:rRNA from 1 species
ACUCCUACGGGAGGCAGCAGUGGGGAAUUUUGGACAAUGGGCGAAAGCCUGAUCCAGCCAUGCCGCGUGCAGGAUGAAGGCCUUCGGGUUGUAAACUGCUUUUGUACGGAACGAAACGGCCUUUUCUAAUAAAGAGGGCUAAUGACGGUACCGUAAGAAUAAGCACCGGCUAACUACGUGCCAGCAGCCGCGGUAAUACGUAGGGUGCAAGCGUUAAUCGGAAUUACUGGGCGUAAAGCGUGCGCAGGCGGUUAUGUAAGACAGUUGUGAAAUCCCCGGGCUCAACCUGGGAACUGCAUCUGUGACUGCAUAGCUAGAGUACGGUAGAGGGGGAUGGAAUUCCGCGUGUAGCAGUGAAAUGCGUAGAUAUGCGGAGGAACACCGAUGGCGAAGGCAAUCCCCUGGACCUGUACUGACGCUCAUGCACGAAAGCGUGGGGAGCAAACAGGAUUAGAUACCCUGGUAGUCCCAU